UUAAGUUAUUAAGGGCGCACGGUGGAUGCCUUGGCACUAGAAGCCGAUGAAGGACGUUACUAACGACGAUAUGCUUUGGGGAGCUGUAAGUAAGCUUUGAUCCAGAGAUUUCCGAAUGGGGAAACCCAGCAUGAGUUAUGUCAUGUUAUCGAUAUGUGAAUACAUAGCAUAUCAGAAGGCACACCCGGAGAACUGAAACAUCUUAGUACCCGGAGGAAGAGAAAGAAAAUUCGAUUCCCUUAGUAGCGGCGAGCGAAACGGGAAGAGCCCAAACCAACAAGCUUGCUUGUUGGGGUUGUAGGACACUCUAUACGGAGUUACAAAGGACGACAUUAGACGAAUCAUCUGGAAAGAUGAAUCAAAGAAGGUAAUAAUCCUGUAGUCGAAAAUGUUGUCUCUCUUGAGUGGAUCCUGAGUACGACGGAGCACGUGAAAUUCCGUUGGAAUCUGGGAGGACCAUCUCCUAAGGCUAAAUACUCUCUAGUGACCGAUAGUGAACCAGUACCGUGAGGGAAAGGUGAAAAGCACCCCGGAAGGGGAGUGAAAUAGAACCUGAAACCGUGUGCUUACAAGUAGUCAGAGCCCGUUAAUGGGUGAUGGCGUGCCUUUUGUAGAAUGAACCGGCGAGUUACGAUUUGAUGCAAGGUUAAGCAGUAAAUGUGGAGCCGUAGCGAAAGCGAGUCUGAAUAGGGCGUUUAGUAUUUGGUCGUAGACCCGAAACCAGGUGAUCUACCCUUGGUCAGGUUGAAGUUCAGGUAACACUGAAUGGAGGACCGAACCGACUUACGUUGAAAAGUGAGCGGAUGAACUGAGGGUAGCGGAGAAAUUCCAAUCGAACCUGGAGAUAGCUGGUUCUCUCCGAAAUAGCUUUAGGGCUAGCCUCAAGUGAUGAUUAUUGGAGGUAGAGCACUGUUUGGACGAGGGGCCCCUCUCGGGUUACCGAAUUCAGACAAACUCCGAAUGCCAAUUAAUUUAACUUGGGAGUCAGAACAUGGGUGAUAAGGUCCGUGUUCGAAAGGGAAACAGCCCAGACCACCAGCUAAGGUCCCAAAAUAUAUGUUAAGUGGAAAAGGAUGUGGCGUUGCCCAGACAACUAGGAUGUUGGCUUAGAAGCAGCCAUCAUUUAAAGAGUGCGUAAUAGCUCACUAGUCGAGUGACACUGCGCCGAAAAUGUACCGGGGCUAAACAUAUUACCGAAGCUGUGGAUUGUCCUUUGGACAAUGGUAGGAGAGCGUUCUAAGGGCGUUGAAGCAUGAUCGUAAGGACAUGUGGAGCGCUUAGAAGUGAGAAUGCCGGUGUGAGUAGCGAAAGACGGGUGAGAAUCCCGUCCACCGAUUGACUAAGGUUUCCAGAGGAAGGCUCGUCCGCUCUGGGUUAGUCGGGUCCUAAGCUGAGGCCGACAGGCGUAGGCGAUGGAUAACAGGUUGAUAUUCCUGUACCACCUAUAAUCGUUUUAAUCGAUGGGGGGACGCAGUAGGAUAGGCGAAGCGUGCGAUUGGAUUGCACGUCUAAGCAGUAAGGCUGAGUAUUAGGCAAAUCCGGUACUCAUUAAGGCUGAGCUGUGAUGGGGAGAAGACAUUGUGUCUUCGAGUCGUUGAUUUCACACUGCCGAGAAAAGCCUCUAGAUAGAAAAUAGGUGCCCGUACCGCAAACCGACACAGGUAGUCAAGAUGAGAAUUCUAAGGUGAGCGAGCGAACUCUCGUUAAGGAACUCGGCAAAAUGACCCCGUAACUUCGGGAGAAGGGGUGCUCUUUAGGGUUAACGCCCAGAAGAGCCGCAGUGAAUAGGCCCAAGCGACUGUUUAUCAAAAACACAGGUCUCUGCUAAACCGUAAGGUGAUGUAUAGGGGCUGACGCCUGCCCGGUGCUGGAAGGUUAAGAGGAGUGGUUAGCUUCUGCGAAGCUACGAAUCGAAGCCCCAGUAAACGGCGGCCGUAACUAUAACGGUCCUAAGGUAGCGAAAUUCCUUGUCGGGUAAGUUCCGACCCGCACGAAAGGCGUAACGAUUUGGGCACUGUCUCAACGAGAGACUCGGUGAAAUCAUAGUACCUGUGAAGAUGCAGGUUACCCGCGACAGGACGGAAAGACCCCGUGGAGCUUUACUGUAGCCUGAUAUUGAAAUUCGGCACAGCUUGUACAGGAUAGGUAGGAGCCUUUGAAACGUGAGCGCUAGCUUACGUGGAGGCGCUGGUGGGAUACUACCCUAGCUGUGUUGGCUUUCUAACCCGCACCACUUAUCGUGGUGGGAGACAGUGUCAGGCGGGCAGUUUGACUGGGGCGGUCGCCUCCUAAAAGGUAACGGAGGCGCUCAAAGGUUCCCUCAGAAUGGUUGGAAAUCAUUCAUAGAGUGUAAAGGCAUAAGGGAGCUUGACUGCGAGACCUACAAGUCGAGCAGGGUCGAAAGACGGACUUAGUGAUCCGGUGGUUCCGUAUGGAAGGGCCAUCGCUCAACGGAUAAAAGCUACCCCGGGGAUAACAGGCUUAUCUCCCCCAAGAGUUCACAUCGACGGGGAGGUUUGGCACCUCGAUGUCGGCUCAUCGCAUCCUGGGGCUGUAGUCGGUCCCAAGGGUUGGGCUGUUCGC
rnacentral:rRNA from 1 species